CUGUGUCCUCAUUGUCACCUGAGUGGUGCAAAUGGGUGUGGAGCCUUCUUGGAACCGCUGAAAGGACUGUGUUGUAGACUGGAGAUAGAUGAUGUCAUAUUUCUCCUCCUCUGUUGAGAGAAGGCCUGUUCAAUUUUGACCUAGAUGGCCUCUUAGGACCCUCUUUCAAACCAGCAGGCCUCUCUGUCCAAAAGCUGGACUU